rnacentral:rRNA from 1 species
AACGUAGGAGGCGAGCGUUAUCCGGAUUUACUGGGUGUAAAGCGCGUGCAGGCGGUUCGGUAAGUUGGGGGUGAAAGCUCCUGGCUCAACUGGGAGAGGUCGCUCAAAACUGGCGAACUGGAGAGUGGUAGGGGAAGGUGGAAUUCCGGGUGUAGUGGUGAAAUGCGUAGAUAUCCGGAGGAACACCAGUGGCGAAGGCGAGUCCCUGGACAACUUCUGACGCUGAGGCACGAAAGCUAGGGGAGCAAACAGG